CCCUUAGAUGUUCUGGGCCGCACGCGUGCUACACCGAUGCAUUCAACGAGUCUAAAACCUGGUCUGAUAGGGCUGGGUAAUCUUUUGAAAGUGCAUCGUGAUUGGGAUAGAUGAUUGCAAUUCUUCAUCUUCAACGAGGAAUGCCUAGUAAACGCAAGUCAUCAGCUUGCAUUGAUUACGUCCCUGCCCUUUGUACACACCGCCCGUCGCUCCUACCGAUUGAAUGAUCCGAUGAAUACCAUGGAUUGAGAGUACGAAUAGGUUCGUUUAUUUCUGCUGCUCGAGAAGUGGAGUAAAUCUUAUCAUUUAGAGGAAGGAGAAGUCGUAACA
rnacentral:rRNA from 1 species